UACGUAGGGUGCGAGCGUUAAUCGGAAUUACUGGGCGUAAAGCGUGCGCAGGCGGUUUUGUAAGUCUGUCGUGAAAUCCCCGGGCUCAACCUGGGAAUGGCGAUGGAGACUGCAAGGCUGGAAUCUGGCAGAGGGGGGUAGAAUUCCACGUGUAGCAGUGAAAUGCGUAGAUAUGUGGAGGAACACCGAUGGCGAAGGCAGCCCCCUGGGCUAAGAUUGACGCUCAUGCACGAAAGCGUGGGGAGCAAACAGG
rnacentral:rRNA from 1 species